CCUUACCUGGCCUUGACAUACUAAGAACUUUCCAGAGAUGGAUUGGUGCCUUCGGGAACUUAGAUACAGGUGCUGCAUGGCUGUCGUCAGCUCGUGUCGUGAGAUGUUGGGUUAAGUCCCGCAACGAGCGCAACCCUUUUCCUAUUUGCCAGCGGGUAAUGCCGGGAACUUUAAGGAUACUGCCAGUGACAAACUGGAGGAAGGCGGGGACGACGUCAAGUCAUCAUGGCCCUUACGGCCAGGGCUACACACGUGCUACAAUGGUCGGUACAAAGGGUUGCUACCUCGCGAGAGGAUGCUAAUCUCAAAAAGCCGAUCGUAGUCCGGAUCGCAGUCUGUAACUCGACUGCGUGAAGUCGGAAUCGCUAGUAAUCGCGGAUCAGAAUGCCGCGGUGAAUACGUUCCCGGGCCUUGUACACACCGCCCGUCACACCAUGGGAGUUUGUUGCACCAGAAGUAGGUAGUCUAACCGCAAGGAGGACGCUUACCACGGUGUGGCCGAUGACUGGGGUGAAGUCGUAACAAGGUAAGCGUAGAUGA
rnacentral:rRNA from 1 species